AGAAUUUUACACUUGGAAAUGAGAUUGUACUCUAUAUGAACCAAACGAAGCUAUGAACCUCUUCUCUCUCUCCUCCUUAGAGACUGAAGUGGUGCUAAGGAUCUCGGAUUGAAAAUGAGAUUCUUUCAGGCACUGAGGAGCAACUGGUAUUUCUCCACCUCAACUAAACAAGAUCACUAUGUGUUCCCCAUCAUAACUAGCAUUCUCUGAUAGAAUGUCCUCAUUUCAUCAGCUCCUUGUCCAGGUAGCUGCCACACCAGAUUCUUCCAAUAGAAAAGAACUCUGAUGAAACCGGACUCAUCCAACCAAGCAAACUUCUUACCU